GUAUCGUGACGUGUGAUGAAUUGACGGAUAAGACCAUGGUUGUUCCAUAGCAAAGUGUGAAAUGUAGAUUGACUUGAAGUGAAGUGGGUAGAUCGGAUCAACACAACAAAGCACACUAUCCAGAUCAAUUCCGGUAGCUUUUGUUUUAUGUUUGAAGAUUUAUAUGGCAUGUAUAGAGUUUGAAUGAAUUGAAGUAAAGAUGUUAUAAACUAGUUAACAAUAUUUGUACUAAAAUAGUUUUCGGUAAGUAGCAGUAGUUUGACUUUGAAAAAUCACUAAAAAUAGUAGAAAUGGAAUUAAAUAAUGAAUAAAUUAUGGAAUCGAA